UACGUAGGGGGCUAGCGUUGUCCGGAUUAUUGGGCGUAAAGAGCGUGUAGGCGGCCAGGUAGGUCUGGUGUGAAAACUCGAGGCUUAACCUCGAGAUGUCAUCGGAAACCAUCUGGCUAGAGUCCGGAAGAGGAGAGUGGAAUUCCUGGUGUAGCGGUGAAAUGCGCAGAUAUCAGGAAGAACACCAAUGGCGAAAGCAGCUCUCUGGGACGGUACUGACGCUGAGACGCGAAAGCGUGGGGAGCGAACAGG
rnacentral:rRNA from 1 species